UACGUAGGUGGCAAGCGUUGUCCGGAAUUAUUGGGCGUAAAGAGCGCGCAGGCGGUAUGACAAGUCAGAUGUGAAAGAGGCCGGCUUAACCGGCAAGGGUCAUUUGAAACUGUCAGACUAGAGUGCAGCAGAGGAUAGUGGAAUUCCCGGUGUAGUGGUGAAAUGCGUAGAUAUCGGGAGGAACACCAGUGGCGAAGGCGACUAUCUGGGCUGCAACUGACGCUGAGGAGCGAAAGCGUGGGGAGCGAACAGG
rnacentral:rRNA from 1 species